rnacentral:ribozyme from 13 species
ACAAAAAUGAAAGGAAUCAGCAAGAAUGAAAGAGAAAAGAAAAAAGGAAGAAGAAGAGAAAACAAAGUUACGUUGGAGUGCAUAUCAACUACUUAGUAGUAUUUAAGCUAGCUUUCAUUUUUCCAU